UGCCGGGUGGUGUAGUGGUACAUACCACCCCAUUCACGGUGCCUUGCUUGAGACGAGGGGGUGGUGUCGCAGGUUCGAAUCCUGCCCCGGCAA
rnacentral:tRNA from 3 species